UACUUGACUGAAAGAAGAAAAGAAAUAAUAGGUUGGGUCGAAAUGUACUAUUUGGGUUGAUUAAGACAUUGCAGAAUUCGAGGCCAACAAGGCACACGCCGUGAACAAUCGAAAUCUGUAUACUUUUGGAGAGAAGCAAACACCACUAUACAUCUAGCAUAAUAAGGAAAAUAAGAUAUCUGAAUUUGGAUUUUAAUCCUAAUAGGAAAAAGAAAUACAAGAAGGUAAGAUAGGUUAGGAUAGGAUAGGAUAGGAUAGGAUAGGAUAGGAUAGGAUAGGAUAGGAUAGGAUAGGAUAGGAUAGGAUAGGAUAGGAUAGGAUAAGAUAGCUAGUAAAAACAAAUCUACAAUCAGGAAAUAAACUUUGAAUGCAUUUUUAAUAAUUAUACUCAAGACUGUCCAUAGAGAUGCCGUCAGGUUUGGUUAAAAAGGAGCCAAAUACUCACGGCUUGAACAGCGGAUCUCCAGAUAUCAAAGUCAUGUUGACAUUCACCUGUAAAUACGAAAAAUUAGACAGCGAUCAGAAGCCAUCAGAGCCAAUUCCAUAUUCUGCUGGUCUCAUGUCUUGAUCAAACAUCCACUCUCAAAUACACCCCUUUUCCUAUUUAACGUAACAUCAUCUCAAUCAACAAUGACAAUAUUUUUCAACCAAAUGCAACCCUCCAAUGGGCAUAACAUAAAUCAAGGUGCGAGCCUAGAAUAGAUAUGACAGGCAAGAUUGUACCAAAUGAAAGAUUUUAUCGAGACGAGUUAAAAAGUGGCAUUGGUUUUGGGGUAAUACCCAGUGAAGACGUCACUAUGAUGUGUUGAAAUCUUAGCACAUUUCAGUACAGUACACCUACAAACUAUAAAUUAUACUCCUAGCAUUCAACAGCAGAUAAAAUCCUUCAACUUCUUUUGAUAUGCAAUGUUAAUUAUAACAUGUUACUUUGGCUUCCAAAUUAUCAGUUUUGCUGACAAUCUCUAUCAUUUUUCUUAAGUGUAACUAGCAGAUCUGCAAUCAUUGCCAAAAGUACUUGGAACAACAAGCAAUUUACGUUGUGUUUUUAUAUGUUUCAAAUCUUUUCCCGGAUACUCCUAUUUCUGCACCCCCCCCCCCGAAAUAAUGAUGAUAAUUUAUAAAAAUAUCAUAGAAGUCGCAGAAAAAUGCGUUCUUCCUAAUCCCCUACACCGUUCUUUAGUAAACCAAAAUUGUUCAAAGAGGGAAGGGGAAUGGCUAAAUUUGCCCUUGAAAACUGACGUUAGUGUACCAAAACUUUUGGCAAGCGUCAGAUGCAUGUGGGAAUACAGUACAAAAGUGGCUCAAAAAGAGGGGUCUGGGGCUAGCUUAUGCGUUCAAGUUACAUCUUAAGGCAGGAAUGAAAAAAGAACUAAACACAAUAUCGAGCCCAAACUCCCCUACCAUCACAAUAAGCCGUACCUCCACAAACGAAAGGAGAAAAGGACGCGCCAACUUUAAAGGUGAACUGACACGCAAAAAUAUUUUUUGAUAUAAUGCAGAAAACGAUGCAUGGGAUCUUAAUUUAAAGUUUUCGGCAAAUUAAUUCCAUCGCGGGGGCCCCUUAGUUAUGAUAAACAACACCCUAAUCUCAGGAAAAACAUUUUGGGCUUUCGGUGCAUCAGCCCUUGUCUUGCCUGAGCAAUGAUGCAAUUUUAUGGUCGGUGUUUGAUUCCAGGGUAAAAACUGCCUCAGUUUUUUACCCCGAUAAUCAGACUGAUACACCUGUCACACAAUCGAAUGACUGUGUGAGAAGAAGUGAGACAGGAGAAGGCAGAAGGGAGCAUAUAACGGGAUAUAAGCAGGAGGAGAAGUGAGUACAAGGGGACAGGGAUGGGAGGGGAAAACGCGUACAAACAACGCGUGAGUCUUGCUGCAAAAUAUGACAUGACCCUAGCUGCAUCACUGUACGUAAACAAAUAUGCCAGGAAAAGACCACCUAGAUAAUACCACAAGGUGAUUAGCAAAUAGCUAAGGUAGCAUGAUAUCCACAGCCUACUAAGGAUAUACGUGUGGGACCACCCGAUUCUAGAAAAGGGGAAUCUGCGCACUUUCCCCGCGGGUAUUAACUCGAAUUAAACGAUUAAUUCCCAUUUAUUAUUGUCCGUUUUGACGCAAUUCCGCUCUAAAUUUCAUGAAAUUAUCGUCGAGUGUUUGACCAUUGUCGGCAUUUAAUGCGACCCAGUGCGUGUGAUGUCAUAAACACCAUGUUUUUAUUCUUGAAUGGAAAUCAGGCACGGACUGGACAGUUCAGUUCAUCUUGUUCAGUUACUAUUCAAGGAGAUCUACGUAGUCUUUGAUCAAAGAUGCAUGAAAAUUCGAGGCUAAUGAAAUGUACGAAGGGUAUGUGGUGGCUGGUACUGCGUUAUGUUAGGAGGGGAUUUGAGUUUGGAAGGAAUAGGCACUUUUAGCUGCUCGAAGAAAUUCUCAAUUCUGAAGUCAAUCGUGCGGACGAAUGUUGUCGAAAUGGAGCCAAAACCUUCUCAAUUAAUGUAUCGAUGCUCAUCCGCAAAGUCAUAAAAGUACGGCCUUCCAGACUGUCGUGUUGCUCAAGUGAUGUGAACAUGGUGUUUGUGACGUCAUGAUUAUGCGGAAGGCUCGGACAAACUUGUCUGUGCUCGGAAAAUGUUCAGUGACUUACAUUGACGCUCAAUAACUCAAAAACUGUGUUGAGUAUUAAAAUAAUAAUAAAGUAUCAGGUAUUUAUGCUCGAUAUGCUUUCAUUUGAGGUCAAGUUAAUUUUGCGUGUCAGUUCACCUUUAAAAAACCGCGUUCACUCGCCCUCGCCCAGUAAACUCAUCAUUUAAACCACCGCAACAAAUUACUCUUUUCAACUACCCAAAUAAAUGUUUAGACGAGUCCUUAAUUACACUUUCCAGGUUCCUAAACUCCAUUAUUAAAGAAUUUAGAUAAGCAGGCGUGUUAAGGCCACAUCAAUCUAGACAAUUUCGUUCUUGGUCAUUUCCGUUAUUUGCUUUUUCAAACCAAAUUAUUAGUAUCUGUAUUACGUUGCUUAGCCGCUUCACAACAACAUCCGCUCUUUAAUUCAGCGUUGCAUUAAGGAAAUGUAAUGAUACCCAAUAAAUAAAGCUUGAUGAGCCACUGCUAAAAUUUCUGUAAAACCUCCAAUAGCAUGAAAAUUAUACCUAAAAUUUGACCAUACGAUAUCGUUGUGAGCAUUUUCAACGAUUUUAAAAAAAUUAUACCUAACACUGUGAACAAAAUUUCAACGAGUUCAUUUAUGUUUUAGCAAUAUCUCUUCUUCUCAAUCUAGGCCCUUUUGAAGUAUUUGGGUGACAUUUCAGACCAGUAAACUAACCUUCAGGAUAGAAUUGUCUUGUCUUUGAUCUUUGUUAUCACUGUAACCUUCUAAAAUAUAUCGCCUGGAUGAUGACCCACAGCCCGCAAAUUCAGCAAAAUUCAUAUCAACAUAGCCAAGCUGAAAAGAAAAAUCAAACCAUCAAAAUCAGAUCGACAUAUAACAACAUUGCACAAAACCCUUUGGGAGGAAAAGGGUAAGCAGAAAGCACAACUGGGAAAAUGUUGAUAAAAAUUAACUUUUGCUGGUGUGAUAUACUGUAAUUACAAAUUAUGACUUUCCACUUGCUUGCAAGAAGUAAGCUCGUUUAAAAGAAGUGACCUUGCCAAAGGGGAGGAAAACUUUUUAAUUGUUCUUAGAAUCCAACAAUGGCUAAAGAGAAAACAAUCAUAGAAGGAUUGGCAAUAACAGGUUUAUGCAUUUAAAAGCAUCACAGGCCAAUUGGCAGAAAGCUGUGGUUGAUAUCUCCUGAUAUUAAUGUAAAUCUUUCUCUUCUCAUGUGCCAGCUUUAUUUUUAUAACUGUUUUUUAUCUAUUACAAAAUUUAGAAAGCUAUGGUAAUGCAGAACGAAAACUGCUUUGUGGAGGCAAUGUACCGCUGUACAAAAAUCAUCAGCAUUGCAAACCUUUUCAUAUGAUUUUCCACCUUUUAGUUCCUGGAAGGAAAUGAGGCAAUUAAUUGCAUUUCAUUGUUUAAGAACAUGUAACGCUAUAUUCCUAGGAAUCCAUUGCUUGCUACAUCAUAAUUUGAAACAGAACCAGGAAUAAAAUUUAGAAUAUGCAAACAUAUAAAUUGAAUAUGCAUACAUAUGAAUUCAAUAUGGAUUAAAUAUAAAUUUUAAACAUAGAAAAGGAACAGAUGACAAACAGGAAUCUAAAAGCAGGAGACAAGGAACUUGUAGGAGGAACAGGAAUAAAACAAUCAAUUUUUAAGAAAGAUGUAUAAAUAUUAUUAGAUUGAGUCUUUCAUCUUUUAUGUUACAGUCUUCUAGUAGCAGUUUAAUAUUAUCAAUCAUAAUUAAUAUUAACAACUUACAACUAUUUCUUGGCAUCUUUUCCUGCAGUUUAUAACCAAGGUUGGUUUAAAAAAGGGCAGCUUACAUUGUUCUAUCUAGAUCUUAUCAAGAUUUUCUGCUACCUUGAAGCAGAGGGUGAUAUCACACAAGAUAAAUCAGAAUAACUCUUGGAGGAUGCUUAUGAUCCCGUGCUAGACGUGGGUGUAAGUUCUAAUGUCUGUUUUUACAGUUAAGAAGUUUUAAAAUGGUAAUAAUUUUUGUGCUUUUGGAUCUGGCUUUUAAUCAAGGAUGGCUUACAUUAUUUGAUGAACCCUACCAAGGUCACUUGAAUACCAAGGUCAAAUGGAACAGUUGAAAUAAGAACGUCCUCUAAUAAGCUUCUAUUAAAAAUGUAUUUAAGAAAUAAACAUCUAGAAACAAUUUAGAAGUUACUGAACUUUGCAAAAUUUGUAAUUGGGAUUGUCAUGUAAUUCAAAUCAACGAUACACUUGUAUAUAAAUGUUUAGAUCACUGAAACAAAAGGGUACUUUAAACAUUUCUCCUAAAGGAAUAUCCUUGGAUUUCUGAUCUUGCUUCUAUCUUAUUGUGUUUUUGCAAUGAGAAAUUUUUAAAGUGUGUUUUUGCAAUGAGCUGUUUAUUCUUCUAUUGUACUAUCACUUGACUCCAAUUCAAUAAUGCUUUGUCGUGACUGUGUUUUAGACAAUAAAUUCCAGAAUAAGUAUAGGACUAAUCUAUUUCCAACUUUGCCAAACCAUUUCACAAAAUAUCAGAAACAAAUUGUAAGCCAUCAAUACAAAGGUGCAGCUCCAGUUGCAGCAAAAUCAUUUGCCAGUGGCACCAAAAGUUUUGCCAAGUUCCAGAUAUGUAAAUCUGUUUACAUCUGGUUUUGCUUCAAAAUUAAAUCCUCUCAAAUAUGUCUACUGCUCAAUGUAAAAGUUUUUUCCCGAGAAAAACAGCCACAUGCAAAAUCCUACAAAAAUGUAUACCUGUGGCCAAAAUUAGAACCCAAGUACCAGUCUUGUUCUUCUAGACUUCACUAUUUUCUAAAUCAAGAUCUUUGCAAUAUUUGAUUAAAUGAAAAAUCACCAAUUAUUAUUUCUAUGUAUUUCACUUUUUUGACUCAAAUUUUAUUGGUUGUGUAAUUUUUUUUAAGGUUGAUCAACAACAUAAACUGACCAGUUAACCACAUAAAAUAGCGUCAGGCUUGACAAAAGAGACAGCGGGUGAAUGGAUUUAGAUGCAAAAACAGCCAUUACAACCAGAUAAACACCAAGGACUCAAUGACUUGAUUCAUUCUUGAAGCUGACAAAAACUGCUUAUGACAUGGCAAACAAUAAAAUUGUACUUGCAAAGUGCCGUUUUUUGUCUAUAUGUUAGAUAAGGGCAGUUUAUAAUUGUGUGAAAACUUGCUCAAGUCAUAAGAAAGAAUUUAUCAUUCCUUUAUGAGAUAGACUUGCUCUAUUGGAGCAAUAAAUUUGAAAAAAUUUGCCUGAUUAGAGGGGCUGCAGCACCCCUAGCCUAUAUUUCUCCUUUGCCUGCACCCAUACAGAUCACAAUACUAUCAACCUUUUUUGGGUGAUUUCUUGGGUACAUCAUAUCCCUAUGCCAAGACCCCUUGUGCUCCAUUAAAAAAUAGAAUAACAACUGAAACAUAAAGCCAAACAAAAAACAAAAUAACCAUAACAACAAGAAAAGUAGAUGGCUACUCAAUGUCCCAGGGGUAGGGACACUGAAUGAAAUUUGGGAUUUUUGAAUAAGGGUUGCAUUCCACAACUUUGGUACAACCGUGUGCCUUAUUCUAAAUUAUGAUUCAGAAUGAGCUUUGGUUUGGGCAUCCUUAUCGACAAUUAACUUGAAUAGCGGUGUCUGGCCUUAUGUUGAUUGACGUAUCAUGCAUCACAGAAAAAAACCAAUAUGAACCAACCUUUCUAACUGAAACUCGACAAAGACAUGUUUCUAAGAUUCCUGUAGCCUGACUUGCUAUCAAUUUGCAUGAAAGGUUGAACUUUGAAUCCCAUCUUGCCGAGUGAUCUGCGACUCUUUUUCUGAAAUUCGACAAAAUUUCACUGUUAUGCCGAACGGCUUAUACUUUUGAUCUAGCCUUUUAAAUGAAAUGCAGCUGGUCAUUGACUUUUCCAUGACUUCAUUAAGCGAGGAGAAUUAAUCUCAAAGGAGAAAAGAUUGUUGUUUUACAAAAGGUUUAAAAAUUACCUUGUUGUGAAAGCAGCAAAAUGUCCGCCAUUCAAUUGGCGAACUUUGCAGAAAACUACACCAGUUAGAAAGGGUAUGCUUGAUAGCUCUUGGAUCUCAAGGCGUACAUCAAACACGAACUUUUUCUUCUUCAUUGGAAAGGCGACUGUUCCUUUUGAAUCAUUUCGCUUCGUUUUGAUUGGAAGUAGUUACUUUAUCGGCCAUUCCCAAACACAAGAACAUUCGCUGAUAUAGCCUCGAUACCAUUAAGAGGCUACAGUAAAAAGAAUUUUGAAAUUAUAUUUAGAGGUGACAAUGAAAUUACGGAAAUGUUGACUGUGCACUUCAAACGAAAUAGAUGAUGAAAUUAAUACCUUCAGUAUAGUUCCAAGCCACUACCGUACUUACCUAGUUAUUUCUAUCGCUACCCAUCUGUUUUUGAAAGCCUCACACACGGUAGCGAAAUUUAUGAAAUAAAAUUCAUCUAUAGAAGAAAAACGAAAACAAUCUGUAAAUUAAACUACCAUAUUAAACUGCUGAUUAUAUUUCUUAAAAGUUGUGUUGCAGUGUUUAGCUUUGUUUUGCUUUACGCUGCAAUGACAUUAAAACUCUAAAUCGACGCUUGGUAAUUUAAAAGAGUUUUUACAAAAAAUCUUGUCAGAUAAAUUUUCGACGGAUAAACUUCGUCGAAAAAAAUUGUGGACAAUUUUUCAGAAUUUUUCAUGAUUUCAUACCGAGUACCUUAAAUUACAGUUUUGCAUAGACAAUUGGUUUUGUUGCAUUUAAAAAUGACCGAAUCAACAACCUAGGGUAAACAACCGGUUGCUGUUGUGUAAGUUUGCUGUUACUGCGUAUGUUUAUGUAACUGCGCAUAUCUGUUUUAUAACUAACUAGAGGAUAAUUUACCAUAAUGCGUUCACAGUUCUUUUAUAUUAUGCCGUGGGAAAUUUAGCGUGUAAUAUAUUUACUUAAAUUAUUUCUUUUUGGUUGUAUUCCCAAUACUAACUACAGUUUGUUUGUUUGUUUUGAUAACCAUAGAUACGUUCACUAAUUUUUUUAUUCAGAUUGGUUGUGAGUUGUUGAAGUGUAAUAGUGAUUUUGAUUGAUGAAAUGUUAUGUUAUUUGAAAUGAAGUUAUCUCCUUGAAAGUUGGAAUCUGUUUCGCGGAACCAGUAUGUUGUACAGUUGCUAUCAUUUGACUUUGUCUUGUCCUGUUUUAAUGUUUCAUGCAUUACACUUUUUAUAAGAAUAAUACAAUUUUUCAACACUGGGUGCUCUAUUUUAGUAAUAAUUUUAAGCCCUGGUGUUCUGAAAAUAGUAUUUAUUUCAAAAUUAAUUUUUUUAUAUCUGUAAUUUAAUGGAUACUUUCCGAGGCCCCUGAAUAACAGUUAUGCAUGACAUUUUUAGUGGCACUGUUCAAUAGCUGAUAAAAUCGCCUUUGUUUUGUUACUACGAGAGAAAUUGUUUCAAUUCAAAAUCCAACCAAUGGGUCAUUAUCAAAGAAAGUCGCAACUCCUACAGCCCCUACCAAGUCCGUCCCUGGUUUUUCUAUGCGAAUUCUCAAAAAUGUUAAACUGUUUAGAUUUGCCCUCGCAAUAGUACGAAGGCUUUACGGGUCAAACAAAAAAUAGACUUUUUACAAAAAUGUUAAAUGCAAAAAAUUUCUUCGUGACAAAAUUUCUUCCUUUUGAAUUUAGUGGACGAAAAUUUCGUCAAAAUACUGUUGUCAGUGCGGAAAUCAAAACCGAUCUAAUCAGCCCCCCACAAAAAUUUUCGAGAAAUUAGAAAAGCAACAUGUCCACCACAGUCCACCCCAUGGCGGUCCCACUGCAGUAGCUUUAGUUGAUUUUUGCACUUUCUUAUUCAGUGUUCUCACUUUUAAGGAAAUUCCCUUAAACUAAGGAAUUUGUUGACAUUUUGAGGUAAUUCAGUUAUUAAGGAAAUUUCAAGGAAUUUCCAAAAUUUUGAGAAAUUUGUUUUAAUACUUUUCUACGAUCAAGGAAAAUUACACAUUUCGAACCAAGCACAAAAUUGAAUAAAAAGUUAAAAAUAGAUAUGAGUCAUCAAAUAGGUCUUUAAAAAACUUUUUUGAUAAAUGCGGACAAAACAUUUCCAGACAAACACUUAUUAAAUGAUGUGCCAAAAUCAACUGUAAUUUAACGUCAAUAUAGGUGUAAUAGAAAAUUCAACCUUGAAAUGUUUUCUACUUUCAAAACAAGACUGUUUUUCGAUGCAAUUAUUUGUGUUUUCUUGAUUUCUAAAAAUUCCAAACUUUUGGACAAACAAAUUUAAGAGAAAUAAAGUUACAGAAUUUUUGUCCGACAAUUUGAUCGUCUGAAUUUUUGUUCAUCCGAAAGUAUUCAGAUUAAAUGUAGAUGGAUGACUUGAUUUGACACUUAAAUUUAUGGCAACGAUUGUUUUAAACUCGGUUUUAACGAUAUAUUUUGCAAAAGGUAGGUUUUCGUAAAUCUAAGGAAUUUUUCUGACAUCUGGGGGAAUUUUCGUGCGAGUUUAAGGAAAUUUACAUGAAGCAAACUGAGAACACUGUUGUUAUUAUUAUGAUUUUGUUUUGCGUCGAAAGCAACUCACAUUUUUUGAAAGUGCAAACUCUGAUCAUAUCAUAUAACCUAGAAUUUUUAUUUAAUAAUUUACCUAGAAAAAUUUAGUCAAAAGUUAUUAAAGGAAAACUUGAGGGUAGUUUGCGUGCGAAUCGUCAGAGCGAAUCGUCUGGGUCGUCAAGCCUAAUCAGAUUCGAAAUGACGGAAGGACGAGCCACCUUUGAUUGAUGACCCGAAUUUGAAUGAUUGCAAAUGCUAGCACCUUAUUGUGCACGAUUAACACUGGAAAGAAAGAAACGAAGAAGCCACGCGGAAAAAGACGUCCUGUCACACAAGUGCGAUGGGUCCUGAUUCAAAAUCGCCUAGGCCGCAGAGAACUCCUGGCGUUUUGUUUUUUAAUCACUUCCCGAAGAACUUUCUACGGCCUUAUGGCCGGGCAGAGGGUAUGCCCUCGAAGGAGAAGACCCUCUCCCGGCUUCAACCGGAGGGAUGCGAAUGGCUAAGGCGUCCGCACGUUGCAGUUUCUGAGCUGGCUGCAACAAUGCAGGGGAACACCGAUCUUUUGAAAGAAAAGGCAGAUUUUUUUACCACGGAGAGCUUGGCAAGUUUUUUCAAAAAUAUUCAGCCUUUUGUAACACAACUCACGCCAUUCAAUAAAGACAGUCCAAUGAAUCCAAGCGAAAACCAAUGCAGGGACCUCCUGAAAACGAUGCUUUCUACAUCAGCUCAACUGGAUAAACAGUUGGAUACUGCUCUCGAAGUUGGAUCUGCCCUCUUUAUCUUGGCAAUCCAAUUCAAGGUUGCACAAGUACUCAUAUCCAACCCUGUGGAUUACGCUAAUAAAAUGACCUUACAUCCAAACCCUGAGCCAGCUUUCAAAUAUUCAAACAAUCUGUUACAUCUUAUUCCACUCCUCCGCCAGUAUUCUUCCAUUUCGCAACCAACUCCGCCCGUUUCAAGUCUAAUUGAAACACUACUCGAUGAACUAUCUUCAUCAUCUUCGUCCUCACCUUCAUCAACCAUCACAAAGCCAAAAAAGUCAAAGAAAAAGAAGAAGAAAAGAUCGUACUCUCCAGAACCCGAAGAAGAACCUCCAAAAAAGAAAAAGAAGUCAAAAAAGAAAAAGGAGUCAAAAGAGAAAAAAGAGUGAGAACUUUAACUGAACUUAAGUUGUCGCAAUUUCAAUUCUUUCGGGUUUCGGGGUUGCAACAAAACAUGGUUUGCGCCAUUGGUGUACACUUUGGCGCAGGAUUGGCUUGAUAACGUUUUUUCGAUUUUGAAUGAUAUACACCAAGCCUAGAGAAAAUUGUCCUGUGGUAAGCCAUUGUUUCGCUAAAUAUUGUACCCAUUGCUACGUCAAAAGGUAGGCCUAUCCUUACAAAAGGGUACUCCAUUGACGUAGACCAGUUCUUGUCACAGCCAAUGCUGUUUACUUCAGGAUGCUUAAUUGUAAAGCUAGGUUUUCAUGGAGCUGUAUCUAUGAAAACGUUGGGGAAAAGUUUCUGUUAAGCUUUGCGUUUAUUAGUUUCCGUUGAGCCACUCUAAAGGUAUCUUAUUCCGAAUUCAUUGUCGUAGAGAAGAAACCCGUUGUGUAGUUGUAUCGUCUGUAUAUAUUUAUAGCCAACCGUAUAUCAGAAAUUAAGACAGAAAGUAAAAGCCUAAACAGGAAUUCUAAAUUAUUUCUUUUAGAUUAACGGCUCUUCCUAAUUUAUAUGACAGUUUAUAAAAAUCAUUCCCAUAACAUCAACCACAUAAAAUUUCGUCAUAUCAUAAUUUAGGACAAUAAUUUGACGUAGUUUCCUUCGACGAAAUUUCAAGACAAAAUUUUGGUCACGACGAAAUUUUUUUCAGUUCUAAAAUAUUUACAUUUCGAAAAAUUAAACUAUAAUAUGGGGUCAGGUAUGAAAUUUAUAAUAAUCCACGUCGUUUUCAUCGUCUUCUAAUUUUAAUAGUACAACUUUACUAUUUCCUUUAUUCGUUCAAGGUAUUUUAGCUUUUUAACACAAAUUUUGAACUCUACAUGGAAUUUCCAGGCUAACUUUUCCUACUGUAGAUGGUCUUCUACUGUCCAAUUCUUAUAUUUAUACAUAUACUUUUAACGACGAAGCUCCUUUUUGUAAAUGUACUUUUAAAUGUCAAGAUCAAUGUGCCUUCUAUCAGUGGAUUUUUGUGAAAUCGAUUAGAUAAUUUUUUCUCGAAAAGCCGGGACAAAACAGUGUAGUCUGACAGUUGUUUAGUUAUUUGUUUGCUGAAAACGAUCAACACGGCCUAAAAUUUCUUGACAUUACCAUCUGCUGAGGGUUGUGCUUUUUUCUUCUUCAAAGAGUAUUGUAUUUUGUUGUCUUUAGCAGAAAAUGUCUUCGAAAAUGGAGAGUUAUUGCCUUUUUGUAGUAACGACCCCACUAAUUCUGCAAUUUGUAAAUAACCUUUCGUUAAUGUUGGCUACACUUUUAAGCUUGUUUACAUAAAUUUUGAGCUUUAAAAUGUGGAGUUA